rnacentral:rRNA from 1 species
UACGAAGGGGGCUAGCGUUGUUCGGAAUCACUGGGCGUAAAGCGCACGUAGGCGGAUCUUUAAGUCAGGGGUGAAAUCCCGAGGCUCAACCUCGGAACUGCCUUUGAUACUGGGGAUCUCGAGUCCGGGAGAGGUGAGUGGAACUGCGAGUGUAGAGGUGAAAUUCGUAGAUAUUCGCAAGAACACCAGUGGCGAAGGCGGCUCACUGGCCCGAUACUGACGCUGAGGCACGAAAGCGUGGGGAGCAAACAGG